CAUCUAAGUUGUGUUUUAAUUAUUUCGGAGAAAUUUUGUGCACAUUUUUCUUUUAUUAAUUUGAAUAUUGAACGGACUGUUUUGAUUGAAUUAUUAAAAAAACGCGAUUCAUAUUUGCUGUCCAGAUAAUAAAAUUCAAAAGAAGGCCAAAAUUUCGCUAUCCCUCAUAAAUUAUUUUCUCGCUAAUUUUCUUUACCCGUUUCAAUUUUGUGGAAUCCAUUGAUUUAGUCAAUUUUAGUGGUCGAAAACCGCUACCCGGAGUUUUUACUCCGGGAUUAUUGCUUUUUAUAUAUUGCCGAAAAGGAAUCUUUAAUUUCACGCCAGACUAAACAUUUAUGGAACACAUCUUUAAUUAAUUAAAAUAUUAGCCAGAAUCUCGUUCUUAUAUAUAUAUCUGGAGGGGUUCCAAGACAUAAAAUCUAUCAUGGAUGUUUAUCGCUAAUAUGACCUAAACACAUUUUGGACAAAAAUCGUAUAAGUUCCCGUUUAAAACCAUUGAGACGUUGUUUGCUGCCGUAAAUCUGGCUUAGAUUAAGCUUUAGUUAAAUAUAGUCAUCAUUUUAAAAAAAUCCACUCUCAACAAUUUUCCCCAUAUCUACAUCAUUUGAGCUAUACAAAACUGAAAUAUCACCUUUAAUAGCAAUUACUAAGAAUUCGUAUUUGGGACAAUCCCGUCGUCGCAGGCCUGUGGACAGCGCUGGAUAUAAAUGUGCAAAGUACCCUCCAAACGGUUCGUAUUUACCAGCCAUGGCAAUAUGGGGCUCAAAUUAAAGGGAUUUGGAAGUGCAGCACGAAUUUGAGAUCCAUAUUUGAGUCGAAAUGUCUGAGGUGCCAUCCCUCCCCUAAUGAGAACAUUGGCUUAAGGAAGAACAUUCCCACCAGGAACCGAAAAGGGGCAAAUUCUCACACACCAAUGAGUGCUUACCGAUUCAAGUCUACACUCAUUGAUAAGGGACUUACAAUGGCACGAAUUCGAUAUCCGCAUUCAGGGCGAAGUGUCCCCACCCUAAACAGAUAUUAGAGAGUUAAAAUAGGCGCAGCGGAGCGUCGCCGGUUCGGCUAGUAUAAAGUAAAGUUCCAAAUUAUAAACAUUUUUGUGGCUUUAAAUUGCGGAUCUGAAGCGGUACCAAUUGGAAAAAUAAAAACUUAUGGUCAGCAA